UCUGAUGGUAGUCUGCAAAACUCAGGAGA
rnacentral:piRNA from 1 species